rnacentral:rRNA from 1 species
UACGAAGGGGGCUAGCGUUGCUCGGAAUGACUGGGCGUAAAGGGCGCGUAGGCGGAUGGCACAGUCAGAUGUGAAAUUCCUGGGCUUAACCUGGGGGGCUGCAUUUGAUACGUGUUGUCUUGAGUGAGGAAGAGGGUCGUGGAAUUCCCAGUGUAGAGGUGAAAUUCGUAGAUAUUGGGAAGAACACCGGUGGCGAAGGCGGCGACCUGGUCCUUAACUGACGCUGAGGCGCGAAAGCGUGGGGAGCAAACAGG